AUGGGUUUAUUAUCUUGACAGUUACGAUCUAUGAUAAAUUGUUUAAUAAUUAAAUUUAAACAUGUAAUAUUAUUCUCAUCUAAGUGCAAAAAGAACACAUCUAUAUCAGGUUGUCAACUUGUUGCCGUUGUUUACACGGUUAAAUGGCAUUAUGGGAAUUCUUACUUAUCCAUGUGAGCAUUUUGUAGGUUAACACAAACAUGAAAUUUUGUUCAACAUUUUGGUGUUUUUAACUGGAAUAUUAGGUAAAUUGAAUUGUUGAUCCAGGAAUCCGAAGCGUUAUCACAUGAGAUGUUUUCCUUGAAAAAUAACUUGUUGCUAGGUAUAAUGACAUUUUUGUGCUUUAACGGUUUUGAAUAAAAUAGGGAACUGAAAUGUCAGCUAUAGAAGGCACCACAGCGUUUCCACGUGUGACAUUUCCCUUAAAAAAUCGAUUAUUUUUACGUAUUAUUAACCAUUUUGAACGACGUAGUUCAUUGAGCUACCCUUUUGAUUGUGGGACACCCCAUAUUGAAAAUUAUUGCUGUAAUUAUUGCAGUUUCCAAACAGAACUGAUACUCUUUUUCAAACAGCAUUUAGAAAAAAAGCUAAAUACCCGACUUCUUUAAAGUUGCACAUAAAUUUGCAGCAUGUUGCGGAAGAAAAUAUUGAAUGGUAUAAAUGUGAAAAGUGUCCUUUCAAAACUAAAUACGAACCAUGUUUAACCAUUCACACAAAUCGAGCCCAUUUAAGUCAAAACGACAAUCAAGAAGUCAGUAAUUUGCAUCAAUGCGAAAAGUGCCCAUUCCUAACUUUUAAAAGCAAGAAUUCUUUAAAAAAUCACGUAAUUUCACAGCAUUUAUAUACAAAGAAUAUUAGAUGUGAAAAGUGUCCAUUCGAAACUAGACGUCCAGAUUCUUUAAAACUGCACAUACUUUUGCAGCAUGGUGAUGGUGCCACAUAAAAUAGCGUUAAAACUUUUAAUGUGAUAAGACUGAGGAACCUUACAGAGAUAUAGCAAAAUCGCCAAACAGAUGCCGUGGAAUUUGAAUAAAUAGCCACUAUUAAUACGUGAUAAAGCGCCUUUAUUAAUGCAUCUAUUUGGUGUUUUAUUAUUAAUCUGUUACUUGUUCUACUAUGUUUCUGUUAAUAAACAAUAAAUAUACAAACUUUCCUAUCCUUUGAAACACAAUCAAGCAACCCCAGUUUUUGGAUAAAUUAUAAAAGUUGGUUCUACAAAUUCGAUUUUUUGCGUAUUGUGUGGCCUACAUAUCUAAAUAGAAAAUAUGGGUGAAUCAAGGACGUUGCAAUCUUCGUUCUCUUCCAAGCAUCUCAAUCUAUUUCUGUGUGAAGCAAAAAUGCUAUUAUAAUGUGGAAAUUUGAAAUAAUUGUGUUGUUUCCUGCACGGUUGAACCACUAUGUUUGUAAAAUCAGUUGUUUUUACUAAUCUUGCAUCGUUGCAUAUUAAGUGGAAUCUUAUAUUUUAUGAUUCGCCCAUUGAAUGUCCUGUUUUGAAAAUGGAAAGAUUAAAUCGAUUUGUUGGUUUCAAAAUGAUAAAUCAAUUCAAAUCAAUUUUCUUAUUAAAAUUUUGUUGAAAAAUUUCAUCGGAUGCCAAGUUUUUUGCAAACCAGGUGGGUAGUGUAAUUCCUUGUUCUAGGAAGAUUAGCUAAUGGAAUAAUCCAUUCUCCGAAUUGAUGUUAGUUUUGACAGGUGACUUUCUUGCUCUUUUGCCGUGUAAUUUAAGUGGACAUUAAAACAGAGUAACGAAUCAAAAAUAAUACUGUUACGAAAUACAUCCUUACGACGCCAAUAGGCUACCGGAAGUCUCGAUUGCGGGGUCUAGAAAAAAAAACCUAGAUGCGGCGUUCGUGAUUCAUCUAGAGAAAUGCAGGGAUUUAAAUAAAGACCACCGUCGGGAACCAGAUGGAGAAGAAGUCGUGUCCAGCGAGUGAACGAAUUCAUUUAAGUUGCACCACGAAGUUAAUUUGUACAUAAUCGCUGUAAUAGUUUUGUCGUGUAAAUCGAGUUAUUAAGAAAUAAAUUGUUGAGUUUUA